GCCCGAGAGAGGACGCGUUGCAAAGCUGAAGGGGCUACGAUGACCCCAUCGAGACAGAGAUGGUUGAAGAGAGGAUACCUUACCUUCACGGUGGCUACGCAGCACCGCUGGCACAGCCGGAGAGAGGAAGCAUGGCGAGUAUUGACCGUCUGGGGAAGCGCUCCCCCUCCAUUGACAGCAUUCGUAAGGACCCCAGGUGGAGGGACCCUGACCUCCCUGAAGUGAUUGCCAUGCUCAGCCACCCUAUUGAUCCCGUCAAGUCUAACGCCGCAGCCUACCUGCAGCACUUGUGCUACGAGAAUGAUAAAAUCAAAAAGGACGUGAGGCACCUUAAAGGGAUACCUAUCUUGGUGGGCCUUCUUGACCACCCAAAGCCGGAGGUCCACCGUAAAGCCUGUGGGGCGCUCAGAAACAUCUCCUAUGGGAAGGAUAACGAAAACAAGGUGGCUAUAAAGAACUGUGAUGGGAUCCCCGCAUUGAUCAGACUAUUGCGAAAAACAAAUGACAUGGAAGUCAGAGAGCUAAUUACAGGUCAGUGUCUGUAGUUUCUUU